UGGCUGCAGUGGGGAAUAUUGCGCAAUGGGCGAAAGCCUGACGCAGCAACGCCGCGUGAGUGAUGAAGGCCUUAGGGUCGUAAAACUCUUUUCUGGGGGAUGAGAAAGGACAGUACCUCAGGAAUAAGCCUCGGCUAACUACGUGCCAGCAGCCGCGGUAAUACGUAGGAGGCGAGCGUUAUCCGGAUUCAUUGGGCGUAAAGCGCGUGCAGGCGGUGUCUUAAGUCGGAUGUGAAAUCUCCCGGCCCAACUGGGAGGGGUCGUUCGAUACUGGGACACUUGAGGGCGGGAGAGGGAAGUGGAAUUCCCGGUGUAGCGGUGGAAUGCGCAGAUAUCGGGAGGAACACCAGUGGCGAAGGCGACUUCCUGGACCGUUCCUGACGCUGAGACGCGAAAGCUAGGGUAGCAAACGGGAUUAGAUACCCCGGUAGUC
rnacentral:rRNA from 1 species